rnacentral:rRNA from 1 species
AAAAUUUAAAAUUAAAAUACUAAAAUAGUAAAUAUAAUUUUAUUGAAAUUUAAAUAAUUUGGCGGUAUUUUAGUUCAUUUAGAGGAAUCUGUUUAAUAAUUGAUAAUCCACGAAUAAAUUUACUUAGUUUAUAAUUUUGUAUAUCGUUGUUAUAAAAAUAUUUUUUAAUGAAAUUAAUAUUUAAAAAUUAAAAUAUAAAUUUAAAUCAGAUCAAGAUGCAGUUUAUAAUUAAGAAUAUAAUGGAUUACAAUAAAUUUAUUUAAAUGGAUUUUAAUUUUUAAUAAUUAAUUGAAGGUGGAUUUAAAUGUAAUUUUAUUUAAUUUAAUAAAAUGAUUAAAAAUUAAAAUAUGU